rnacentral:lncRNA from 1 species
UUUUUUUUUUUUUUUUUUUUUCUUUUGGAUUUUUGGCCAUUCCUGCAGCAUGCAGAAGUUCCUGGGCUGGGGAUCAAACCUCCACCACAGCAGUGACAGCACCACAUCUUUAUCCCACUGAGCCACCAGGGAACUCCCAAAGUGGGAGCUUCUUGCAUUGGGCUUUUAUUUUCCUCCCUGGGCUGGUGUUAGAUUCUCUGGAUACCCAAGGUGACGGGAGGAGAAGCAGAUGACGGCGACACAUCACAGUUUAUUUCUGGAAUCAGGCCUCCUCCUGAGGCCAAGGCUUUUCCUCCAAAGGAGGGGGACCUAUUCCCCCACAGAGGCUUUCAGCACAAAAGCAAGAAGAAGAUUCCAGCUCAUGGGGGCUCGAUCAACAAGUCAGUUCAAGAAGAUGGAUAUAAAUAGAAGUGCUCAGAAGGCUGAAUUUUUUUUUUUUUUUUUUUUUUUUUUUUGCUCUGGGGAGGUUAAAGUGGAAUCCGAAAUCAUAGAUUUCCUGAAAAUCAGUAUUUAAGAAUGUAAUAGGUGUGGUAACUGGCAAGAAGAUCCUUUGGUUUAAUAACAUAUGAAGGGAGGAGUUCCUGUUGUGGAUCAGUGGUAAUGAACCCAACGGGGAUCCAUGAGGACUCGGGUUCGACCCCUGGCCCUGCUGAGUGGGUUAAGGAUCUGGCAUUGCUAUGAGCUGCGGUGUAGGUCACAGACUUGGCUCGGAUCCCGCAUUACUGCAUUGUGACGUAGGCCAGCAGCUGCAGCUCCAAUUCGACCCCUAGCCUGGGAACUUCCAUAUGGCGUGGUUGCGGCCCCAAAAGCAAAAACUAAAAAAAAAUAACAUAUGCAGGGAAAUCUGGCAUCACCAUUAUCCUCCUUCCCUGUCCUUCUGUCAUCUCGUUAAGGUCUUNNNNNNNNNNNNNNNNNNNNNNNNNNNNNNNNNAGGAACGUGUUUUGCAGUUUUGCUGUUGAUUUGCAAGGACCCUGCGAGGAUCCGAGGAUGCUGUCAGGAGCUCUGGUUGUCAGCCGAGCUCAGUGCGUCGUGGUAGCUGCGUGUUGACAAGCACUGACGUUGCUGCAGGACGGAGCGAGUGUUUUCCCCGUCGCGGUGACAAAAGCAGCCUGGUGAUUCAAGGCUCUUAUUUCAGAGGGAGCGGUGGUGCUGUGUGCAGAGAGCCCCUUAAGUUGAGUGUGAGGCUCAUCAACAGGCCAGUUAAGAUGAAAGGGAGGGUGGCUGUGGAAAUACCAGUGCUAUGGAAAUACCAGAGUGUUGCUAAAGCUGUCUGGGUUCAGGGCCAAAUGGAGCUUUUUAGUGUGAAGACGAUGUGAGACUUGUUUUCAUGUCGGAUACCCUCCUACAGAGGGGGCUGCUUUUAGAAAAAAAUUGUUUUGCUUCUCUGGGUACCACCUACAGAAAUGUGUUUAUUUUAACUGUUGAAGAAUUGCACAAAGCUGGUGAAACCGCCUUGUGAGAGGGGAGUCUCUGGAUGGGUAUUUUCUCAUCCUGUGACAGCCCAGCUUGGAAUGGCCAUCAGGCUAAAGGUUAUAGCUGUGAUAUUAGAGCCGGGUGUUGGUUUAUAGAACUGCACUAAUGGUUUUGUUGGGCAUCCUUAGGAAGGAUGGAGCCAACCUGAUUUGCUUCUGCCAAGACCACUUUUUGGGGGGACAGGGGGAGCUGCACCCAUGGCUUAUGAAAGUUCCCAGACUAGGAGUCGAACCCGAGCUACAGCUGCUGGCCCACGCCAACAGCCACAGCAGUGCAGGGUCUGAACCUCAUCUGUGACCUACACUGAAGCUCACAGCAAUGCUGGAUCCUUAACCCACUGAGCAGACCAGGGAUUGAACCUGCAUCUCAUGAACACUAAUCAGGUUCAUUACCAAUGAGCCAUAGCAGCGAGUCUGCUGCAAAGACCACUUAAUCCUCAGCAAGAGAGCCUCAAAACCACCUGUUAUUCCAUACUCUCAUUUAAAAAAUACACCCUGUUGCAUUGUUAAGCCUUAUGCAAACCUUGCUCUAGUCCUGUUUACAUGUUAUAAAAUGAAGAGAACCCACUGCAUGGCUCUGCAGAGGACAGACCCCAUUAAUCUGUACUUACUUUUCUGCCUAAAAUGUAAGCAUCUUAAUAAUAUGGUGACGACUCGGUGGGAGGGGUUGGCUAAGGGACAGCUCAGGACCAUCUUGCAGAUGAAUAACCCCUCAGCUCAGCAAAACUGUGUCAUCUGUCCAGGGCGGUAGGUUCACAGGUGCCAGGAGCACAGGUGUGUGCGGGAGGAUCCCUCCUAUAGCACCACUCAGCUCCCUUGGUUGUUGAGGGAGGUGCAGAUAUGAUAUUUGAUCAUGUCUGUUAUCUACAAAACAAACCCACUGUUUACCCAGGAACCCAGGUGUGUCUUUUAGGUAGCUGUUCAUCUAGCCUUGCUUCUGAUGUCUCUGGCCCUGAGGGUCUUCUGUGGGACCCAGGGAUACCCAGAAGCAUAUCUGGAAGGCUGAUGCAAAGAAAGGAGGGAGCAUGGAGAAGGUUGGAGGUGUGGGGAGGGAGGCAAUGUACAGCAAACUUACAAAGAGGAGCCGGCAGUACAAGUCCAUGGGGGGCACCAGCAGUUGCCUCAGGUCCUGAUGUUCUGCAGAGAGUUCCCUGAUGGUGCAGCAGGCUAAGGAUCUGGCAUUGUCAUUACUGUGGCAUGCGUUCACUCCCUGGCCUAGGAACUUCCACAUGCCCCAAGUGCUGCUACCUUCAAAAGAGGAAGAACCAAAUUUGAGGCAGAGUGAGUGUUUUGCAAAGGUGAAAGUAAGCCCAAGAAUGUCACAGGAUUACCAGGAAAAAAAGGAAUUCUUCUCUGUCUUCGCCAGAUCUUCAAAAAUGGAAAUCCUGUCCUUAGAGGAAAUAGAAACAGGGUAAACUACACGCUUCUCCACCUCACUUCUGGAGAGUGGAGACUGUUUGAAAGCAGAGAGGUGUACCUUUGAUGAAUCAUGAAAACAUCUCUUUUCUGUUUUCACGGGGGCAGACUCGCUCCUGUCCCACUUUGGCUCAGCAGAUCAGCCAGAACUCCUGCUCCUGUGCUCUUUGUCUUAGUAUGUUUUCAAGUGUGGUUAUCCACUGACGAAAACGAUGGUCAGUUUGUCUGUUCCCAGAAUGGGAGUUAAUAAUUCUUUUAAAAACAGGAACAGUGAAAUGGUAUCAGAUUAUACUUCACACAUUUUGUUAUUGGGGAUAAUUUUAACUUUUGGUCACUUAAGCAGUAACUGCAGAGUUUCUCUUGAUCUUAUCUAAAAGUGAGGGGACGAAAAGGAGCUUUUCAAACAGAGAUCUGAUAUAAUAAUGAUAGUAAAGAAGAUAACUAAGCAGAAAAUGCUUUCUUUGAACGCUUUGGGUAUCUUUUUCUGCUUAAAAGGGGGGAGUCCAGUCUAGAGUAUCUUUAGCUGGUACUUUUCGUAAGUUCAGUACACAUCCUGAUGAUGUGGGAAGCACUGGCUUUCCUGCACCUGCUUCAGGUAAUGCAUGCACCCCAACAGGUGUUUGUCAAUCUGGGCUCUUCAUCGGUUGCUGGAUGGCUGUCGUUUGAGCCACUUCAAAGUGAGGUCAGCACCAGUGGGAGCAAUUUUAUGAUAUUAUAAACAGGGCAGGGUAGAAUAACUCACUGCCCGAUCCCCUUUGGCCAGCAGAGAGGGGGAUUCUCAGGACCUGGGACUUCCAGUUUUCAUACUGGGAAAGUCCUGGGCAAACCAGGAUGAGGUGUCAGCCUGUGCAAGGUAAUGGAUUUGACCAUAAACUUCAGCAUUGCACUUCAAAAUAUUAAAGCGGUUGACAUUCUGAAUGUUCUUGAACUUACUUUACAGUACAGUGGACCUGUUUGCCAAAAUGCCCCGUGUCCCUUCCCAGCUGGCUCUAUCCACUCUUGAUACUCUCCUUCUGGAAAAGAACAUCGAAAUGAUUUCAGAGUGCAUCCCAUUCCCCUUCAGCGGCUCUUUGUUCUUGCAGAUUAGAGCAGGGGCAGGCUGAGAAGACAGGGUACCCCCCUUUCCCACCUGUCGGGCCAGCCAGGCCUCCCACCCUCUUCGUCAACCAAAGUGUCAUCGCUUUUACCUACCAAGAGGAAGUCUUCACAGCUCAAAAUUUUAAAAAAUAGAACAUUUGCAGAAAUAUGGAUAGACCUAGAGAUGAUCGUACUAAGUGAAGCAAAUAAGACAAAGACAAGUAUCAUGUGAUGUCACUCACACGUGGAGCUUAAAAAAUUAUGCCAAUGAACCAUUUGCAGAACAGAAAGAGAGUCACAGACAUUGAAAACAAACUGAUGGUUACCAAGGGGGAAAGAAGGCAGAGGGAUAAAUUAGGAGUUUGGCGUGAACACACUACUGUAUAUAAAAUAGAUAAACAAGGACCUACUGGGUAGCACAGGGAACUAUAUUCAGUAUCUUAUAAUAACCUAUAAUGGAAAGGAAUCUAUAUGUGUAACUGAAUCACUUUGCUGUUCACCUGAAAUUAACACAACAUUGUAAAUUUUUUUUCAAAGUACAUUUCCAAGCCAGUAACUAGAUGCUCACAUAUCCCUUUGGGCUCCUGUAUUCUGUGGUCGUCCAUGGAGAAUUGCUGAUUUUCCAAAGACUUUGAAUGAAAUGAAUUUCAAGAAAACUGCCUGUUCCAAUGGUUCUUAUGAUAGUGAGAGAUACUCACUGUGUGGUCCUUUUAUUUUUAGCAAUAGUGUUGGAAAAAUCAGGUUAUAUUUAUUCUGAGUGUCUGGGGGGGCUGGUGAGAUUGUGUAGUCUAGAAAAUGCUGGAAUUAUAAAUUAUUAUAAACAUCGACUGGGUAGCAAAAUUCAUAUACCAAAAAUACUGUGAUAUAUAAGUCUGCCUAUAGAUUUUCCCCUAGUUCACUGCCCAAAAAUGUAUACAUUGGCCAAAGAGAAUAAACCGAGAAAGUACUUGCACAGAGAAAUAUAAAUACAUUUAACUGUGCUGAUCUUUUGUCAAACAUGUUUUUUAUAUCAGCUCUCCUGCUUGUCCCAAAAGCCCCAAUUUUGAGUUCAUUUCUUUUCUUUUUUUUUAUUUUUUUCUGCCUUUCUUAAAAAUCUCAUAGUGUGGGCUUGUUUUUCUGUUGAAGACAUUCAGACUGUAAUACUUUCUAGUUUUUUUAGCAUUAACCAAAUAUUUUAUGGGCCUUCUCUGAGCUAUCCUUUAUUUUUGGUCUUUGGAUGUUUGUUGUCAUCAGAAUCCUGAGUUUUUUACAGGGCUGUCUCCGCCUUUAGGUAUGUUGAGGGCUGGUGAUAGCAGAAUUCACUUGGCUGGAGCCAGAAUGGGUUGGCUUCUCUUUAAUGGCAAUCCAGCUGCCCUCAAUGAAUAACAAGUUCCCUUCCUUGAGAGAGAAACGUUACAUUGCCUCGGUAUCUCAGGAGUGCAGUUCCAUAAAUAUUAGUAUGCAUGAUGGAACACAUCUUUAUUCAAGAGAGCAAAUACUGCCAACAAAAAUGAAAUAAUAGAGGAAAUAACUUCUAGUGAUUUCCAGCUUUAAUUAUGAGAAAUAAGUGAAAAAGAGCUUUCCAUAAAAAAAAUUUUUUUGCCACAGUGACAGUUGUCUAUCUCUUAGUUAAAGAUGAUUAUGCUCUGGGGUGGGGUGGAGGAGGUAGAUAAAAAUGAAUGUUUAGGUUUUAUUUUGUUUUUAAAGCAUUUUCUGUCUUUGCUUUUUUGCUUUAUUGGGUCAGAUGUUAUACUUGUUUUUUAAACCACCCACAGGCUCAGCUAUUUGGAUAGGGCUGGGCUCUGAACUAGAAGAGCUCAAGUUUAUUAUUAUGGGGUGGCCCCCCCAUUCCAUUUUAAUGAAAUGUCUGAUUCCAGAAUGUUCCAUUAGAGGCAAUAUUUUAAAGUGUUGUGAUUUUCCAAAUCAAGGAGAAUUUCCCUUAAAAAAAAAAAUCUGUAUUUAUCACCAGGCUGGAUACUUUCCCUAAACUACCUUGACUGCUUUUUCUAAAUGUGAAGACAUAGAAAAAGUGAAAAAUGAACAUUCUCCUCUAAAAAAAUUAUAAAUCCGUAAUUUGUGAGAAGGACUUUGUAUUUAAUUUUAUUUUUAUAGUAAAAUGUGACAUAGGUAAACAUCAUUGUAAAUUCUUCAAGAGGGGCCAUGAUGGGGGCAGGGUUAGCUAAUGUGGAGGAAAAGUGGAUUUAAAAACUCCAUUGCUGGGAUUUCCUGCCGUGGUGCAGUGGUUAACAAAUCCGACUAGGAACCGUGAGGUUGCAGGUGCGAUCCCUGGCCUUGCUCAGUGGGUUAAGGAUCCAGUGUUGCCGUGAGCUGUGGUGUAGGUCGCAGAUGAGGCUCAGAUCCCACGUUGCUGUGGCUCUGGUGUAGGCUGGUGGCUACAGCUCCAAUUCGACCCCUAGCCUUGGAACCUCCAUAUGCUGCGGGAGCAGCCCAAGAAAUGGCAAAAACAGACAAAAAGAAAAAAAAAAA